GCCCCGGUAGCUCAGUGGAUAGAGCGUCUGCCUCCGGAGCAGAAGGUCGCAGGUUCGAAUCCUGUCCGGGGCA
rfam:Actinomyces radicidentis strain CCTG 36733, complete genome.